UACAGAGGUCCCAAGCGUUGUUCGGAUUCAUUGGGCGUAAAGGGUGCGUAGGUGGCGCCGUAAGUCAGGUGUGAAAUCUCGGGGCUUAACUCCGAAACUGCAUUUGAUACUGCGGUGCUUGAGGACUGGAGAGGAGACUGGAAUUUACGGUGUAGCAGUGAAAUGCGUAGAGAUCGUAAGGAAGACCCGUGGCGAAGGCGGGUCUCUGGACAGUUCCUGACACUGAGGCACGAAGGCCAGGGGAGCAAACGGG
rnacentral:rRNA from 1 species